AGAUUGUGAGGAAUCGCACUUUCAAUGAAAAUUUACCCAAUUGAAAGGCAGUCGGAAAAAAUCUGAGAACUCGAAGUGAACAAGUUAGUUGUUGCUCGAGGAAGAAUUCGUUGUGGUUACAGAGAUGGCGUUACUCCAAUCAAAACUUAAGAGUAUGAGCAAAAUGGUGCUUCUAUUGACAAUGAUUUUGUUGCAAUUGGCAAGAUCGAACUCGACGCCAACCUUGCCUGAUAUGGAACGACUCAAUCGAACUGGGAAGCUCCUGCCAAUCUUUUCCGUUGUAAGAUUUCAAAAUGAUCCAUGCACUGGAAACGAUGGCAAAAUCGGAACUUGCUACACAACUGACGAGUGCUCCACCAAAGGAGGGAUUCGCUCUGGUGUCUGCGCUUUGGGGUUUGGACAAUGUUGUGUAUGUAAGUAUGUUCGUGUUGCUUCAUUUCUUAGCUAAAGUU